UUUUUAUUUAUUCAUCCAUUCCGGUGCCGGUAACCAACUUGCUCCGUACUGAAGUUGUGCACAUUCAGAGGAGGCGAGGAGAACCGGAGCUGCUUCACGGAGCCGCCGCUGCCGCCGCACCGGAGAGGAUUCUCCUCGCAGCUUCUCCGCGCGUAAAAAUGCGCUUUUUUUCUCCUUUUUUCCCCCUUCUCGCUUCUGUGAGAUUUUAUUAUUAUUACUUAUUUCUAUUAAAUCAGGAGUGGUGCGUGUGCGCGUGCUCUCGGAGGUGCGUGAACGCUUGGAGAGGCUGCGGGUGACGCGCGGCCGUCCGGGAAGUUCUCCGAAGCUCCGCACCGGGAGGCGGCAGAGGCGCUUUUCUGUGCGUAAAAAACACCUCCCAGCGGCAGAUGCGGGCUGGUUCCGGGUUCUGGGGGGUAACGGGGCAUCCGGGGGGGUGAGGAGGUGAGGAGGGAGGGAUGAAGGAGGCAGAUGUUGGAGGGGGGAGGAAGGUGAAGCCAGGGGGUGAAACCGGGAGGAUCUGACGGACGGACAGCAGGAGGAGGAGCAGGAAGUUACUGGACUUGACUUUACAAUUAAAGGAUAUUUCUUGCGACCGAUCGUGACUCAGAAAUGUCUUUUAAUUGUUUGGUUAAGUUCAGGUUCUCCGUGGAAAGAAGAAGAAAAGAAGAAAAACCAAAUAAAACGUGGAGGUGAAGCUCCUGCAGAAGUUCUCGUUUCAGCACCACGAAGCUCCGGACAGCUCCUCCGGAUCUACGGUGACCGCUGAGGGACCAAAGUGUUCAUAUGCGGCUCCAGGAGGAGACUAAAGAAGAGUUUUACUGACAAACUGACGCGUUUCAAUGGAUGAAGUCUUUAAAAAGUUGUGUUUUUUCCUCCAGAGAUGGUUAAAAACUAGGAAAUGUGAUCUUCUGACUUUUUUUUCUGGUUAUUUUUGCCCACACAGUGAAGAAAAUCUGGAAUUUUACCAUAAAUUAAAAUGAAUUCUUUCAUUUUUUCCACAUAAGAGUGUGGAUUUACAUUAAAAACUUCAAUAAAAUGCAGAUUUUUAAAGAGAAAUUUGAACUAUAUAGCACAUAAAGAGAGAAAAAUACAAAAUUAGUUUUUAUUCCUGUUAAUUUAUUACUUAAAACUCUUUAAAACCGUAAAUAUGUGUUUAAAAUUAGACGCCAUUAGUGAGAAAUAGCAGAAAAAAGUGAUUUUUUUUCUGUAAUUGACAUAUUUUGUAUAAUAAUGGACUUUUUCACAAGAAAAACGUUGAAUUCAUAUAUUUUUCUCUGUCAAAUGCACUUUUUAUCUGUUUUUCUUUGCAUUUUUUCAUCUGUUAUUGUGUUUUUUAUAAUUUAGUGCCAGAUGGAGCAACACAAAAUGUGUCAUAUUAUUUUUACAGUUUUUCCUUUAAAUUUAUUGAAAUAAACAAUUCAAAACAGUAAAUUUAGGACACAAUUACUGAGAAAUAACCAAAAAAGGAUGUUUUAUCUGUAAUUCUACACCAGUUUGUUUGUUAAAUGACAGAUAUUUUGUAGAAUUGUAAACUUUUUUCAUGAUUUCAAUGUAUUUUCAUCAUUUUCUAUCAUCUUAAAGCAUUAGUAAUCUGUCAAAAUGCAGCUUUUAUUUACUUUUGAGAGCAUUUAUCAUCUGUCAUUAUGUUUAUUACAAUUUAAUGCUUGAUUUAGAUGCUAAUGGGAUUAUUUUAUGUGUAUACAGAGAGAAAACUAAAUUUGCAAUAUUUUUAGUUUUUCUUUUUCAUUUGUUGCAUAAAACUGUAAAUAUAUGUUUUAAAUUAGACACAAUUAGUGAGAAAUAGGAAAAAAGUGAUUUUUUUCUGUAAUUCUACAUAAGUUUGUUUGUUAAAUGACAGAUAUUUUGGGUAAUUAUGGGUUUUUCACAAGACAAAUGGUAAAUUAAUGCAGUUUAUAUCUAUUUUUCUAUGUAUUUAUCCAUCUGUUUUUGUCUUUUAUACAAUCUCAUGCUUGCUAUAGAAGCAAAUGUGAAUUUUGUUUUAGCAUAUAAAGAGAAAAAAAUCACAUUUUGCCACAUUUUUACAGUUGUUGUUGCAUAAAACUGUAAAUAUAUGUUUAAAUUUAGAGACAAUUAGUGAGAAAUUGAAGAAAAAAGUGUUUUUUCUGCUAUUUUACAUAAAUCUGUUUGUUAAAUGACAGACAUUUUGUGUACUUAUAGACUUUUCACAAGAAAAUUUGCAUUUUUUUCUGUCAAAAUGCAGUUUUUUAAAUCUAUUUUUCUUUGCAUUUAUUCAUCUGCUUUUAUGUUUUGCUUGAUAUAGAAGCAAAAGUCUGAUUUAAACAAUAAAAAGCAAGAAAAUACUCUUAAUUUCAGGUAAAAUGAGGCUAAAAAACAUGUUUUUGUGAUGAAAAACGGCUGCAUUUGGUUGUUAUGCUGUUUUUAGGACCCAGCAGUGCAGCUUCUAUAUAUUUGUUUAUGUUUUACGGGACAUUUGUUGUCUUUUUUUACAGAUUAAACUCGUUCUAACUGGA